GAACAAACCGAUCGACGGACGGAGAGACGGAGGGACCGGAGGGGUGAGCAAGCAAACUUCACGGCUAGAUAUCCGAAGUGAGCUACGGAGCUGGGCUGUAUGUAUAGCUAUAGAUAAAUAGAUAGCCAGCUAGACCAGCUAUAGGUAUAGAGAACGAGCCAGACACCAGAGGAGAGGUUGAACGAACCCACGUGCCAGCCAAACCUCGCUAAUAAUUUUCUAAAGCAACGCCCUCGCUUCGAGCGAGCGAACGACGACGACGACGACGACGACGACGACGACGACUGUAACGUCGACGACAUCAACAUCGACGUUAUACAACCGCGACAGAGAAACAGAGAAACAGAAACACAGGCAACGGGGAGACGCUAUCGGACACGUCAUAUAAUGUCACGCGUACGCACGUACACGUAUGUACAUCGUCGCAACGAUAAUAAAGACGUGAAAAACGGAAUACACACGUGAUACGAGAAAAAAAGUAUAAUAUUAUACGUAAAAUUAUUCGUAUGUAACGUAGAAACGUGUAUAUUUAUAUACCAUUAGAUAUCACAUUAUAUAUAUAUACACGUAAGUAUAUAUAUAUAUAUACACAUAUAGUAACGACGUCGAGCGAUCGCGAACAUUUAAUUUACAAAUGAAGAAUCGCGGGCUAUGGAGAUGAAGGCUGAUUGUCGGCUGUGUAUCGCCACCUCGUCAUAUACACGUGCACGCGGUACCACACACACACAUGCGUACGAGUAAAUAAAAUUAUACGCACAUUUAAAUACAUAUCGUCGCCGCUUCGUUCCAUCAUAUAUAACUAACAAACCGAGCAGCAGCAGCAGCCAACUACCGACCAACCACCAUUCGUGAGUCCUGCCGUCUAUCUCUACGGAGAAUUCGUAUUUCGUACCCUCCUCCUUCGAAUGUACGUACGUACGUACCUCCGUUUACAUACGAGUCUGCAACGUGCACGUAUACGAGAAUAUAGGUGUACUCUCUGGUAUAUAAGCGAGCACGUGUCGUACGUUACAACAUACGACGUACGACGACGACGACUACGAAGACGGUAAUGAAGAACUGUAUACACUGUGUGAGUGUGCGUACCUGUAUGCGUAUCUCUGCGUGUGUAUAUACGGAUACAGAGGAGACAUGCGUGUACAUACGUAUCUUCGGAGGCAGCAGCAGCAGCAGCAGCAGCAGCAGCACCGGGAGCACAUACUACCGUUUCGUUUCUCUCCUCUUUCCGUUUCUGUUUCUCCCGUUUCUGCUGCCGGUGCUCGUGUUGGCUGACUAUGGACGCGAGGCGAGUACGAGGCGGCAAAAAAAUUACGUCAUCGGGCCGAGAAACCGCUGACCGCAUUCCUCGAUCCAUAGAAAAAAAAAAACAACUUUUAAAUGGUCCGCGUACCCCGGGGCGAGAGGCUGCGAAGGAAAAAAGAGAAAGAGAAAAAAAAUUAUACUCGGAACAGGCAUGCGAUCUGAUACGUGUGAGAGAGAGAGAGGAAGAGAGAGAAGUUUCAUAGCGAGGAUUUAGAAGAGAACUAUCAACUUCCCGAGGGAGCACUCGGCAAGGAGGGAAUACGUAUUUUGGAUUUAACAAUUCCUGGGGACUGGGACGCGUGCAGAACGGUUACACUACGCAGAUGAAAUACAAAGAUGCCAAUUAUAAUGACAAUGGCAACGCGCAGGGCCUGGGAACAAAAAUUCGCCAAGCCAUAUAUAACUCGACCAAAGGGAUCUCUGAUCAUUCUUUCUCAACUCGUACCGGUCCUACGCUGCACAUCUAUAUUCAAAUGCAUGUGUACGCAGUCUACUCGAACUGAGUGAGUUUUUAUAUCCCAUUACGCGUAGUAAUAUAAUCGUGGUUCCGCUAUCUUUCAAAAUCCUUUUGGUUUUAGAAUUUGUACAGUUUCUUUCGGUCCACACCAUUUAAUCACAUAACGACCUGUCUAGGUGUGAUA